rnacentral:lncRNA from 1 species
UGUAAUAUGCCGAACUUCUAUGGUGAUGAAGUUUCGGUAGAUAUUAGCUUGAAAAGCUAUUUAAGUAGUUUUGGUGAAGUUCGGGUGCGUUCGGGUGUUUUCGGUGCGAGUUGGACUCGAAAACGGAACCCGAAAAGCUAUUUAAACUUUGGCCUGAAUCCGGCAAAGUGUAGGUGAAAAGAUAAAAUAAACGCGCUCGAAAAUGUAUUUUGAGGGUGUUAGAAUGUUUAGAGGUGGUUUGGAGA